rnacentral:rRNA from 1 species
CGGCGCACGGGUGAGUAACGCGUGAGUAACCUACCUUUUAGACUGGAAUAACUUACCGAAAGGUGAGCUAAUGCUGGAUGAGCUAUGUGAUUGAGUGGUUACAUAGGAAAGACUGGGGUAAUACCUAGUGCUAAGAGAUGGACUCGCGUCCCAUUAGCUAGUUGGUGUGGUAAAGGCAUACCAAGGCGACGAUGGGUAGCCGACUUGAGAGGGUGGUCGGCCACACUGGGACUGAGACACGGCCCAGACUCCUACGGGAGGCAGCAGUGGGGAAUUUUGCGCAAUGCUCGGAAGAGUGACGCAGCGACGCCGCGUGAAAGAAGAAGGCCUUCGGGUCGUAAAUUUUUUUUAGCAGGGAAGAAAGAGGAUAUUAGUAACUGAGUAUUCGUUGACGGUACCUGCAGAAGCAGUCCCGGCUAACUCCGUGCCAGCAGCCGCGGUAAUACGGAGGGGGCGAGCGUUGUUCGGAGUGACUGGGCGUAAAGAGCGCGUAGGCGGUGUUAUAAGUCAUUAGUCAAAGAGUAGAGCUUAACUUUAUUAAGGCUAGUGAAACUAUGGCACUAGAGUAUCAGAGAGGAUUGCAGAAUUCCUGGUGUAGCGGUGAAAUGCGUAGAUAUCAGGAGGAAUACCGGUAGCGAAGGCGGCGAUCUGGCUGGGGACUGACGCUGAGGUGCGAGAGCGUGGGUAGCAAACAGGAUUAGAUACCCUGGUAGUCCACGCUGUAAACGAUGGAUGCUAGGUGUUGGGUGUAAAAGCUCGGUGCCGAAGCGAACGCGAUAAGCAUCCCGCCUGGGGAGUACAUUUGCAAGAAUGAAACUCAAAGGAAUUGACGGGGGCCCGCACAA